rnacentral:rRNA from 1 species
AUUGAACGCUGGCAGCAGGCUUAACACAUGCAAGUCGAGCGGGGAAAGGUAGCUUGCUACCUGACCUAGCGGCGGACGGGUGAGUAAUGCUUAGGAAUCUGCCUAUUAGUGGGGGACAACAUCUCGAAAGGGAUGCUAAUACCGCAUACGUCCUACGGGAGAAAGCAGGGGACCUUCGGGCCUGGCGCUAAUAGAUGAGCCUAAGUCGGAUUAGCUAGUUGGUGGGGUAAAGGCCUACCAAGGCGACGAUCUGUAGCGGGUCUGAGAGGAUGAUCCGCCACACUGGGACUGAGACACGGCCCAGACUCCUACGGGAGGCAGCAGUGGGGAAUAUUGGACAAUGGGGGGAACCCUGAUCCAGCCAUGCCGCGUGUGUGAAGAAGGCCUUUUGGUUGUAAAGCACUUUAAGCGAGGAGGAGGCUACCGAGAUUAAUACUCUUGGAUAGUGGACGUUACUCGCAGAAUAAGCACCGGCUAACUCUGUGCCAGCCGCCGCGGUAAAAC